UACGGAGGAUGCGAGCGUUAUCCGGAUUUAUUGGGUUUAAAGGGUGCGUAGGCGGGAUGCCAAGUCAGCGGUAAAAAUGCGGUGCUCAACGCCGCCGAGCCGUUGAAACUGGCGUUCUUGAGUGGGCGAGAAGUAUGCGAAAUGCGUGGUGUAGCGGUGAAAUGCAUAGAUAUCACGCAGAACUCCGAUUGCGAAGGCAGCAUACCGGCGCCCUACUGACGCUGAGGCACGAAAGCGUGGGUACCGAACAGG
rnacentral:rRNA from 1 species